rnacentral:rRNA from 1 species
CUACGUGCCAGCAGCCGCGGUAAUACGGAGGAUGCGAGCGUUAUCCGGAUUUAUUGGGUUUAAAGGGUGCGUAGGCGGCCUGUUAAGUCAGCGGUGAAAUCUAGGAGCUUAACUCCUAAAUUGCCAUUGAUACUGGCGGGCUUGAGUGUAAAUGAGGUAGGCGGAAUGCGUGGUGUAGCGGUGGAAUGCAUAGAUAUCACGCAGAACUCCGAUUGCGAAGGCAGCUUACUAAGGUACAACUGACGCUGAAGCACGAAAGCGUGGGUAUCAAACAGGAUUAGAUACCCUGGUAGUCCACGCAGUAAACGAUGAUAACUGGGCGUAUGCGAUAUACAGUAUGCUCCUAAGCGAAAGCGUUAAGUUAUCCACCUGGGGAGUACGCCGGCAACGGUGAAACUCAAAGGAAUUGACGGGGGCCCGCACAAGCGGAGGAACAUGUGGUUUAAUUCGAUGAUACGCGAGGAACCUUACCCGGGAUUGAA